rnacentral:lncRNA from 1 species
GUGUCUUAGUGGCAUUGGGACUUCCUAAUAAUUAUUUCACCUUGUCAUCGAGUCCUGCUUUCGAUAAGCGUUGGUACCAGAAGCUAGCAAAGUAUCUGUCUCUGCUUUAAAAUAGAGGUAUUCUAAAAUACCUCUUUUUCAUUAUAUAUAUAUUUACUUAAAUCUUAUUUAAAAAAGUAAAAAAUUAUCUUUGAUUUUCGUUGAAAAUUUAUUAAUUCGAUUGAAUAUAAAAUUUUCAUACCCUUUUGUCCAUCUCUUGCUUCCAUUUUACAAGUCAAAUUAGGGGACUCUCUUGAGAUAAUGAUAUAUACAGUUCAUUAAUUAGUUUUUAAAAUAUAACUUGUUAAUAUUUGAUUUUAAAUUAUAACUCAACGCAGUUUAAUUCAAUUUAAAUUUAACAGAAUUUUGGUAUAUUCUACUCAUUUGGUUGGCCUCUCUUGUUGUUGGAGAAAAAGGUCACGGGCUCAAUUCUAAAGUUAUAUAUAUCAUACAUUUAUAUGAAUUAUGACCGUCAUGUUGUAGUUUGGCAAGUCAUGAGUGUGCUUUAUGCGUCUAGUUGUCUGAGUUCUAAUUAAUAAGAAUAUGAAUAAUAAUUUGGUGUACUUAGGGAUACAUUAUAUCAUUUCUUUUGGAACUAUUUUAACAACAAUGAUGGCAUGUCAUGGUGCAUAGUUUGGAGUGCUUCAGCAAGUAUGAAGGUUUCGGAAGAAACAAAGGAAACAGAGUCUUCUAUCAUCAAAACUAAUAUUACGAGUUAUACAAGUUUUUACCUUAAAGUAAUACUGUGUAUAGUUCAAUCAUCAGAAGCUGUUAUGAUUAGAAGCUCAUGGUGAAUGCAAAUUGCAGUAACAUUGUGAGAGACCGGCCUUCUAAGAUUCGAACAUAGGUUUUGGUUUCAUAAUCCCACCCCUAUUAACUUAUAAUUUUUGCAAAAAAAAUAUAAAACACAGUGAAAAAAAAAAUCAAUGUUUCACAGCCCAUACCCCGGGGUUGAUCUGGAAUUGAGCCUUAUAUGAGCCUUAAAAUGCCGUACACAAUAAUGCAUAUCAGUAAAAGCAGAGAGGAAUCGAUUGAAAGCUACAUGUCAAAGAUACAGAGAAGAAACAAUAUCUACAUUCAUUACAUACAGAUUAAAACACCAAAAAUCAAAGAAAAGAAAAAGUAUUCCAACAAUAAUUAUGUCUCUAAUAUUUAUGAGCUUAGUUACAAUUUCUUUUGGGUCGAUCCUCUAGUAAUUCACUUUGUGCAUUCAGGGUAUGUUUACUUCUUAAAUUAGGGAAUGAGAAUGAGGAAUUAUUACCUUUGUGUGUAUUUAUUUAUAAAAAAAUGAAUCAAUGAAUGAGAAUUAAAAUGGUGAUAACCACUAAAUUUAAAAAUAAGAAAUGAAAAACUCAUUUCCAUAAGUAUACAAGAUAGUAGUAGAACAACAACAACUACUACUAAGGAAUUUUAUAAACUUAUAACAAUCUAUUCCGAUUCUGAUAAACACAUCAAUGGAAGUACAUUUCAUUAUGAUUUUUAUUCAUACAACUUAAGUAAACAACUUAUUUUGAUUUAUAUUUCUUAUUUCAAUUCAAAUAUAUUCCAAUUACCACGAAGUAAACACAGCAGUAGCGAAAGUCAAGACUAAAGUGUCGCGGGCAUAGAUUUUAAUAGUGAUAAGUAAUAUUUAUCUUUAACAUUAGUUGAGUGAGUGCAAUUAGUAUUUAGAAUGGGUGUAAAGAAAGUACAACGAAAAAUGUAAUGUGCAAUUAAUUUCUGUUUAUCGCGAUCUUGCUCUUAGUUUUGAAAUCUAAUCCCAAAAAUUACGAUACACCUAUGAGUACACAAACAUAGCCCAGAAACGACGUUGCUUCUUCUUCUCCCUCAUCUGUUGUUGCUGCACGUUGCUUCUUCUUCUUCACUCAAUUUUUUUCAACAUCAUGAAUCUGCGGUACUUUUUAUACUUUUUUCACCAGAUUUUUAUCUCAUUAAAAGAGAAUUUUGGGCGUACGAUUAUUAGGGUUACAUUUGUUUGAUCAAAGUUGAAAUUUCCAUUAAUAUUUGAAAUUAAUUGGUGAAUUAAAUUUAUGAUCCGUGUGUGAAUUAUUGAAAUUAACUCUUCCAAAACUUUUUUUUUCUAAAUUUUAUUGCGGGCUGAUUUAGAGUUGAUUAAUCUUAGGGGUCUUUUGUAAUAUUUUUAAAGUUUAGGUCGCUCUAUAAUUAGAUGUGAGCUCUAAGAUUAAUAUUUAAUUAAAUGUGAGCUCUAAGAUUAAUAUUUUCUAUAGACUAAUGCUUUCUAAACACUAAUAAAGACAUAGAUGAGAUGAGAGAAUAGAGAUCGAUUCCUUUAGUUUAAGUUAGGACAUUAGGCUUAGGCACGCUACAUGCACGUUUACAUUUAUUCACUAAUAUAUUUUUAGGCUUAUAUAUUUUUAAUUAAAAUUUAAAAAAUAUUUUUAAAAAAAUGCAAGUCUGAAUACCCAUGCUGUUAUGCACUAAAUAUUUGGCAUAUACCAAACACACCGGCAACUUCGUAUGGGUUUUAGUUUAAGAUACCAUACCCGCCCGCAACACACAAAAUUACCCAUAAAGAGUAGGCUUUGGCGGGCGGAUUUGGUUGGGUUUGUAUGUUUGUAGGUACCAUUGCCAUCCCUAGUUCUAGAAGAGAUGACAAGUUGCCUAUUUUUGCCUUCAGCUACAACCUUCUGUGAACUGAGCAUUCGAGUGGAAAUGUACCAAAUACUAUCUUAGACGAUGGCCUCGGGAGGUCUAUUGCCAAAACAUAGAAAACUAAAAACUUAGAUCCUAAUAUAUAAACCGGCAAAGUGAAUUUGAUAUUUGUCAAUUUAUGUACACACACAUUAAUCAAAACUAUUUAUUGAAAAAAAAAAGAUUUUUUCCAAUCUUUUCUCAUGUUAAUUAGAUUUAUAAGGGCUUGCUUUUUAUUCACAUCACUUGAGAUUAAAAAAAAAUUGAGAUAUAUAUAUAUAUAUAUAUAUAUAUAUAUAUAUAUAUAUAUAUAUAUAUAUUACUUAAUCAAACCAUAUAUACUUUGCAUGUGAAUUAAUGGAAAAACAAAUAUAAUAUUUUUUAAGAAUAAAUAGAAAAAAUUGAUAUAACUUAACACCACCUCUCGUUAUGGUCUUGAUGGCAUGGUGCUUGCUUGUUCGCCAUGUCGUCAAGGCCUGUCUUCGAGAAGCGUCGGUACCAGAAGCUACAAUAGAAACCAAAACAAAAUGCAAGUACCUGUAUGUUCUGCUUUGAAAUAGAGGUAUUCUAAAAUACCUCUCUUCUAUCCGAAAAAAAUAAUAAUAAUAAGGAAAAAUAACAAAUUUCCAUAUGUCAUACCAUGACAUCCUUUCUUUCUUUUUUUGGUGUUCAUUAUUUCAAAAUACCAAAGCAUCUUUUCCAAAACAAGCACCUCAUCAACUUGUUGAUAAUCAGAAAUUCUUUAUCAUCAAUUCAUUGCCAGAUUAAGCAUUACAGGAAACUAAGCGCCAUCAUGCUGUUGUCCAUGUCUUCAAUUAAUCCAUCAUUAUUUUCCUAAAAACAAGUAAACAACAAAGACUAAGCGACAAAUAAGUAAACAUCCAACUAAAGCUGUUUUUUUUUACAAUUUUGCCUUUCCCAUUCAAUUGCAGGCGCUCUUUUUGUAUCAUACGGAACUUCAAUUUAAAAGUAAUUUGACACGGUUUAUAAUCCAUUUAGCAUGGUUUUAAUUUUUGAGAACAGCAACAGCUGGUGGCCAGUUCUAGGGAUGGCAAUUGUGCCCACAAACCCGAAAAUUUGUCCAAACCCACCCGCCAAAAUCUGCCCGCUACGGAUAAUCUUGUGGGUUGCGGGCGAGUUUGGUAUUACAAAUUGAAACCCGCACUUAGAUGCGGGUGGGUUUGGUAUUAAUCCAAUAUCUGACGGAUACCCGCAUGGAUAUCCGCUAGACCCGUAAUUUUUUAAAUAUUUUUAAUUUAAUUUUAAUUGAAAAAAAUAUUUAAAUCUAAAAAAUAUAUAAACAACAUAAUACAAUUAUGAAAAGUACCAAAUAACCAAAGUGUUUUUGUAUUGACUAUUUUUCUUUAACUUAAUGCAUGAAUUAUUUCAUCAUUAUAAACUUUUUUUGGAUUAAUAUUUGAAAAUUAUUAUUCUUUGGAAAAUAUUAAUUUUAAACAUUAUCGUAGGCAUCAUGUUAGAUAGGUGUGCUAAUGAUGGUGAAUGAAAUGGAAAUAUUCUCUUUGAGCUUGUGUUGAAUGAUAAUAUGAAAUGUAAUUGUUAUUUUUAGAUGUUAGUUUGUGGGUUUUUUUAGUGUAUUUGUGUAUUUUAUACUUAAAUUUGAUCAUUUGUGUUGGAUUGAUGUUUAAAUUUAAAUUUUUUAUUUAAUUGGUUAAAUUUAAAAUUGAGUAUGUUAUGUGAAAUUUGAGGUUAUUAUUGUAAAUUUAUAUAUUGAAUGUACAAACCCGCAAAAAAUUUGUCAGAUAUCAUUGCAGGUUUGGUAAUUGUCAAAACCCUCAGUGGGUGGAUUUUCUUAAAAAAAUUAAAACCCGCUGCGAGCGGCGCCCAUUACCAUCCCUAACCAGUUCAUAUCUUUUUCCUAUAUAAACACUCUGCUUGAAUUGUCUCUUAGUGUCAAUUACAUUUAUCUCUUUUUUACAAACUACUCCAAUUCAAAAUCUCUAUGUUCUUCCAUUUCACCAAACUUUCUCGAGAAAAAUUUUAAUUUAAUGAAUCUUUUUUCUCUUUUCUAUAGAUUUACACAAAAAGAAAAAUGUAAUUUCAGUCUAAUGAAGAGAAUUAUAUAAUUGCAGUGUGUUGAGAAAAGAGAAAAAUUAUGUACUCCUUCAUUUAUUUAAAAAAAAACACAUUAAAGAUCUAAAGCAUAUAUUUAAAAAUACUACAAAAUUAAAUACAUUGCAUUAGAUUGUAUUUAUUUUAGCAUAUCCUUAACUUUAAUAUAGAUAAUAAUUUCUAAUUGAAAAAAAAUGAUGAUGAUGAUGAUAAUAAUA